CUUAUGCACACAUCGAUAUACUAUAAAAAGAACACACAUGUUGAUCAAAGUUGCAUAGCAAACUAUUCACAAAACUAAAAACUAACAAUGAAAUUCGUUAUUUUGUGCUUGGCUCUUUGUGUCGGUAAGUGACUGCCUACUUUUACAUUACUUAUUUCUUAAUUUCGAACCUUUUCAGUCAUUGAUAUUAUCAGUAUAAUCAAACUUGUAUUUCAAAUUAAAACAUAUUUUAUUUUUUUCAUUUUAUUGUAAGUAGUUAUCAAAAUUACCAGGAUUAUAAUUUUAUACGCCAGACGCGCGUUUCGUCUACAUAAGGCUCAUGGGUUGAACUUCAAUGUUGUAAAAUCAUUACGUACAAUAAUAUAUUCUAUGAAACUAUUGGACUGUAAAAUAAGUGAAAAGGAAACAGUACUUGAACAAUUUAUGCGCACACAGCAUAAUGGUUUACGCAAAUGUUCUAGUGUAAAAACUCCAAAUCCAACAUUUCAUCUCGUGUUCCUAUUUUGAGUAUAAAGUUCAGUACGAAAUCAAUUUUACAUAUUUCCAUAUCCAAUAAUUUGUUUUAACUAGAUAAACAUCACCUCAAGCGGAAAACAAAACUAUAAAAAAAAAAGCAAACUAAUUCACCAAAUCAAUGCAUUUGAUCCUGAACUUUAAAUAACUGAUCUCUUCGAUGGCCGAAAUGAAUGAUCAUAUAUGAGGUUAUGAUACUGUCAUGAUUUAUACAAGAUUUACACGGCGUUAUUUUCAAAAUUUGAUUAUUAAAAAAAGUGUUGUUGAUUAAAUAUUAGACAAAUCUUGUAAAUCGUUAAAAAAUUAAACAAAAUCAAGAAAACAAACAUCGAGCGAGUAGCAUAAUUUUCAAAAGUACAAAGACCGUGCUCAGUGACAGCGUAGCGUUCUGCAUGCUUUGUAAGUAUGCACCACCUGUAAUGCGAAUUUUACUUUUUGUAAAAUCUAAAAUCAGACGACCAUAUGCUUGUUUUUAAUUAUCGAAACCCGCAAUAAUAUGUCGUUUGUAAAUUUUCAGUUAACUUUUGCACGAUGGUGCCCAUAAAGCCAGUGCAAGGUCGAUUUCAGUCAAUUGUCCUCACUCAUACUGCUGUUGGAAAAAAUUAUGCUUAAUGAGCACAUCACUGUAAAUAAAAAAAAGGAAAUGAUCUUCUCUAACAUGAAAAAUUCAAGAUCAAUGAUUGUUAUCGUUUUUAUUGUAGAACGCAAAUUAUAAACGAGAAUUUUAUCAACUGUAUGGGUCGGAGGCGCAUUUCUGGAUAAACUUUAUGAAGAACGAAUACACAUACAUAAACGUUAGCAUCUGUGGAUGAUCAAAUUGUCAUUUGUGGGAAUUGUAAUUUAUGUUGUUGAUUUAGCUUGCCUGAUCCGUGAAUUUAUUUAUAAUUUCAAUUUUAACAAACCUUUCUAAGUGUGCCUCUAAUUUUUGUAGAGAUAUGUUUAACCAUUGUCGAGGAUGUUAGAAAGACAUUACUUACGAAAAAAAUCAUAAUCAUGUACUUACAAUUUAUAUCUGUUUUGUCAAAUAAUUUAUUGUCAACGCAAUUUACAAAUGUUUUGAUUUGAAAUAUUGCUUUUAUGUUUACUAGUAGUAAUGUUAUACCUGUAAAAAAAAAGAUGCACUUAAAUUUUGUAGAACCAUAAUACAUACUAUUGUUAUUCGUAUUUACAGCCGUAAUGGGAGAGCAGUGCCGUCAAACGAAUGACUGCCAUUUAACAACGUGUGCUACAAAUGCCAACCUAGUGUGUUUACAUGGUGAAUGUACCUGUACAACAUCAAGUGGAGCCAGUAAGUUUUAAUGCCUGGUUAUUUUAUAUAUCUUUUAUUUCUUUAUUUCCAAACAUAACUGACUACUAAAUCUGUGAAAUAUCAUCUAAUGGAAAUAACAAAGCUAACACAUAAAUAGAGGUAGACCUGUAUAUUCUUUUUUGAAUUUGAAAGGUCCGGUGAAGAUUAAGUAAACAACAAAAUGAUUUGAUAUUUAGUUUAAAGUGUCAUUCAACUCUCAUCCAUAGCUUUGUUGUUUCUACCAUAUUAUAAUUUCUCACAACCCAGUUUAAAAACAUAGGUUAUGCACAACGUCACGUUUUCCCUGACUGUUUUUUACGUUUUUUCAAUUUUCAUUGGAUCUUGGAUGUGUACUGAUCGACUUUUUAGUCUUAGAUGCAUGACUUGUUUUUUUCUCAGCUUCAAACUAGAUCUCAGUGCAUGUAAUUGUUAGAACUCUCAGAUCUGUACUAAGUGUCGUUUUGAUGUUGGGAUAAACAAUAACCCAGAUACGUCCACUCUGUGUUUCUGUUAUGUGUAUUGGUGUUUGUAUCAGUCUGAUUUUUUCAACUGACAUGUAUACAUUUUUGUAGUUCGUUCUUAUGUUGUACUAUUACACCACUGUACCAAAUUAGUUGGAGGGUUGGUAUCCUACUGACAGGUUUAAACCUGCUAAAUUCUGUAUGUAUGUGUCUGUCCAUGGCUUAGAGACUGUAAUGCAGUGGUUGUCGUAUGUUGAUGUAUUUCAUUUCGAUUAUUGCAUUGUACAUACAGUAGGCCGUUAGGUUUCUCGUUUAAUUUGUUUGAUAUUUGAUAUGUCUGUGUCAUUUGGUCUCUCGUGAUAGUUUUUGAAUUGAAAAUCAUACCAUAUCUUCUUUAUUUUUCAUAUUAACAACCACCAUUUUACAAAUACAGAUAAAUUUGAAUUGAAAUACUAAUAUUAAAAAAAGGACUUAUCUUAUAACAAUAAAAAGAUGUAGUAUGAUUGACAAUGCCAAAUGAAUAAUUAACAACAUAAUAAAACAUAAAUGAACAACUGUAGGUCCCUGUAUGGUAUUCAACUAUAUACACAGUCCAUACCAGAAACUCAGCUAUAAAAGGCUUAUAUCUGUAUCUAAUAUUCAACAAGUUUUAAAGUUAAUGGGACAUAUGCAAUGUAUUUAGACUAUUAUUAAUAUUUGGAUUAAGAUGCGCACUCAUUCUCCUUGUUCUUUAUUCUCAAUUUUAUUUGAUUUUGAAUGUUUAAAUAAACAAAUUUAAGCUAUUGAAAACAAUGAUACAAAUAUAAAUGAUAUACAAUGAUAUGGUUUUGUUUCAUUUCAGCCUGCACGUCCGCCAACGAAUGCCGUCACGAUUGUCAUGACAGAAAUGCCCACUGUAUCGACGGAAGGUGUCACUGCAGAAACUAAUAAACAAAAUAACGAAAGUCAUAAUGAAAUUUGAAACAUUUUAUUUAACUGUUGGCUUAUCUUUGGCAUGCUUGUAAAAAUAAGACUAAUUGUUUUUAUUUGUUUUCUAAUCUUAUGACUAUGGUGAUUCCUCAUAUGAGUCGUAACAAUAUUUUAAAGCCAGCUUAGCAGAACAAACUGUUUUAUUUUUUUUUUGAAUAAGAGACAAUCAUGCUUAAUCUAAUAUUAACGAUCAGAAAAGUCAGUUUGCGAACGCACAAUAAUAGCUGAAUAAAAGAUUAAAAUACA
rnacentral:lncRNA from 1 species